UUUUCAUAUUCGAUUCCGCCAUGUUGUCUACCAUCACAGAUGACGGUGAAAUGAAUUAAAUGGGGAACUAUCUGAUUCUGAACGGUACUUAUACCGGUUGAUAAGGUUAAAAACUUCGUUGUCAAUGGGGUAUUCGUCAGUGGAGUGUUUUAGUGUGAAAAAUCCACGGCUGAACAGAGGAAGAAUCUGAAUGAAUGAAUCGAGAGUCCGCACCCCCUGCAUCUUCUGUAUGAGCACUUCACGCCUGUCCUGAGUUGCACAGACCUGAAGAAAACCAUGAAAAGCUCACGGAUUUUAUGAAUGAUGCAACAAAAAAGAGUGAAGACGUAAUUUAAGUAAUGGAGAAGAAUACAUGCUGGUCUGGUUAUGUCAAUUUGGAUAUUAUUGUGAUGUUCUGGUAGUCAGCUGUUUGUGUGGUUAUGUGUGAAAUCAGAGAGCACGUGAGACUCAAGACUGUCAAAAAAAGGACAUUUGGAAUGUUGGAGACGAAUGCCUCGAUCGACUGUAAUGCAGCCAGUGCUUGUGCAGCACUUAUGAACUACUUUGUAUGGUUAAAUUGAACUUAAGUCCGUCUGUGCACUUUGUGUGAUCAAACUGCAAUACAAGUUCCAACAUGCCAGCUUUUAUUAUUGGUAAACUUUCUAAAGAUUUAUAUAAAUGUAAUGUUGAACAAUGUAUGAAAUUGUAUUUUUAAAAUGACAGAUGUAAAUAUAUAUUGAUGAUUUU
rnacentral:sRNA from 1 species